GCGGGUGUGGUGAAAUUGGUAGACACGCUAGAUUUAGGAUCUAGUGCCGCGAGGUGUGUGGGUUCGACUCCCUCCACCCGCA
rnacentral:tRNA from 1 species